UACGUAGGUGGCAAGCGUUUGUCCGGAAUUAUUGGGCGUAAAGCGCGCGCAGGCGGCCUCUUAAGUCUGAUGUGAAAGCCCCCCGGCUCAACCGGGGGAGGGCCAUUGGAAACUGGGAGGCUUGAGUAUAGGAGAGAAGAGUGGAAUUCCACGUGUAGCGGUGAAAUGCGUAGAGAUGUGGAGGAACACCAGUGGCGAAGGCGACUCUUUGGCCUAUAACUGACGCUGAGGCGCGAAAGCGUGGGGAGCAAACAGG
rnacentral:rRNA from 1 species